GCCCACGUGGCACAAUUGGUCAGCGCGUGAGACUUUUAGAAAUAAGAGUAUCUCAAGGGUGAGCAAGAUCAUUUCAACCUCCAUAACCUCUCACUAACAAUAACAGUUGAGAGUUCGAGCCUCUCCGUGGGCG